rnacentral:lncRNA from 1 species
AUUGAUGUAUAAACUGAGAAAUCAUUUUAUAGAAUGGCAUAUGUUGAGUUUAAUAGUAUAUAGAUAUACGAGAUGCCUGCAUCCAGCAAAUUGUAUUUAUAGAUAUUAGGAUAUUGCAACUGCUUUCAUCAAAAAGACUGCCAGCUGUCCCAUUUGUGGCUGGGUUAAUUGUAUGCAGCUGUUACGAAGGGACCAGUAUAGUUUCAUGUUAAUGUGUCCGUAACUUACCAAUAUCCUACAGUUUACCUAACAGAACAACCGCUCAGGGCUGACGCACAGCGCACACUGCGGUUUUGGUUUCUUCUCUCUCCAUCGCUUGCAACCAUAUUUUCCGAAGAGAAAAGGCAGCAGAUGUGUAUGUUUUACAAAACCCCCGCGUUUGCUGUUCAGUUUCAGCUCCUGUGUCUCAGUUUAGACCUCUCUGUAAGUUCCACGCCGUCAUUGUGCCAUGUUCCUGCAAUAGUAAAUAGGGAUAAACAUCACCUUCACGUGUGGUCCCUCUGGGUCCAUGUCUCUUGCAUGUUGAAUGAGUGAGGUAGUAUGAUCUGUGUAUCAUUGAUGGGCCAGUAGUCAAUGAAAAUUAUAAUCACAUCCCGAAGAGCCAGAGAUGAAGUAAUCCAAUGCUGGUAACGGGAGCAUAUUUCUAAACUGUGAGGUAAAACAUGUCACUGCUUAAAUGUCCAGGUAUACUGUUGGUAGCUCGUAUGCCAGAUGAAGAGAUGCUUGCAUGUGUGGCACUGAGAGAGUUAAAGGAAAACUAUAGUGUUAGAAAUACAAAACUGUAUUCCUAGGGCUUUAGUGUCCCUCUGUCUUUUCACCGCCUGGCAAUUUAAGUUUUUUUUUCACUUACCUGUUUUCAUUGCUGGGGGCACUCUGUGCUGGAUCAGUCCCUCCUCCCGCGACUUCACGACAAUGGUUGAAGCUAAUACGCAUGCUUUAGAGAUUCCCCAUAGGGAAUGACCAAACAAUAGAACAGACACCUCUAUUAUGAACAAACAAUAACCAGGCACCCCUAUUAUAGAACUAACAAUGACCGGACACCCCUAUUAUAGAACUAAUAAUGACCAGACACCCCUAUUAUAGAACUAACAAUGACCGGACACCCCUAUUAUAGAUCAAAUAAUGACCGGACACCCCUAUUAUAGAACUAACAAUGACCGGACACCCCUAUUAUAGAACAAAUAAUGACCAGACACCCCUAUUAUAGAACUAACAAUGACCGGACACCCCUAUUAUAAAACAAAUAAUGACCGGACACCCCUAUUAUAGAACAAUAAUGACUGGACACCCCUAUUAUAGAACUAAUAAUGAUGAGGCACCCCUAUUAAAGAACAAAUAAUGACUAGGCAUCCCUAUUAUAGAAUGAACAAUGACUAGGCACCCCUAUUAUAGAACAAACAAUGACCAGACACCCCUAUUAUAGCUCAAAUAAUGACCAGACACCCCUUUUUUUAGAACAAAUAAUGACCGGACACCCCUAUUAUAGAACUAACAAUGACCAUGACCGGACACCCCUAUUAUAGAACAAAUAAUGACCGGACACCCCCAUUAAAGAACUAACAAUGACCGGACACCCCUAUUAUAGAACAAUAAUGACUGGACACCCCUAUUAUAGAACUAAUAAUGACGAGGCACCCCUAUUAAAGAACAAAUAAUGACUAGGCACCCCUAUUAUAGAACGAACAAUGAGUAGGCACCCCUAUUAUAGAACAAACAAUGACCAGACACCCCUAUUAUAGAUCAAAUAAUGACCGGACACCCCUAUUAUAGAACAAAUAAUGACCGGACACCCUUAUUAUAGAACUAACAAUGACCAGGCACCCCAAUUAUAGAACAAUAAUGACUGGACACCCCUAUUAUAGAACUAAUAAUGACGAGGCACCCCUAUUAAAGAACAAAUAAUGACUAGACACCCCUAUUAUAGAACGAACAAUGACUAGGCACCCCUAUUAUAGAACAAACAAUGACCAGACACCCCUAUUAUAGAUCAAAUAAUGACCAGACACCCCUUUUUUUAGAACAAAUAAUGACAAGACACCCCUAUUAUACAACUAACAAUGACCAGGCACCCCUAUUAUAGAACAAAUAAUGACCAGACACCCCUAUUAUAGAACAAAAAUGACCAGACACCCCUAUUAUAGAACUAACAAUGACCAGACACCCCUAUUAUAGAACAAAUAAUGACCAGACACCCCUAUUAUAGAACAAUAAUGACCAGAAACCCCUAUUAUAGAACGAACAAUGACUAGGCACCCCUAUUAUAGAACAAUAAUGACCAGGAACCCCUAUUAUAGAACAAAAAUGACCACACACCCCUAUUAUAGAACAAUAAAGACCAGACACCCCUAUUAUAGAACUAACAAUGACUAGGCACCCCUAUUAUAGAACAAUAAUGACAAGGCACCCCUAUUAUAGAACAAAUAAUGACCAGACACUCCUAUUACAGAACAAACAAUGGUCAGAAAUUCCUGUAUUAGAAAAAACAAUGCCCUGACACCCCUGUUUUAGAACAUAUACUGGUUAAAUGCCCCUGUUUAAACAUAGCACGAAGGCUGAGGCUGUUCCUAUUAACUAUUUUAGUUCCUAGGGGAGAUACAUAGUUACAUAGCUGAAGAGAGACUUGCGGCCAUCAAGUUCAGCCUUCCUCACAUAUGUUUUUGCUGUUGAUCCAAAAGAAGGCAAAAAACCCAAAAGUGCUUCCAAUUUUGCAACAAACUAGUAAAAAUUUGUACUUGCUUACCCCAAAAUAGCAGUCAGAUGUCUCCUUGGAUCCAACAGCUAUUACCCCGCUAAUUAGAAAUGCUAUCCCUGUAUGUUAUGUUUUUGCAAGUAAUUAUCCAAUUGCAGUUUAAACAUCUGUAUGGACUCUGAUAAAAUCAGCCCUUCAGGCAGAGAAUUCCAUAUCCUUAUUGCUCUUACUGUAAAAAACAUUUCUUUGCCUUAGAUGAAAUCUCAUUUCUUCCAGCCUAAAUGUGUGACCUCGUGUCCUAUGUAUAGCCCUAUUUAUGAAUAGAUUUACCGAUAAUGGUUUAUAUUGGCCCUGAAUAUAUUUGUAUAAUGUUAUAUCCCCUCUCAGGCGCAGUUUUUCCAAACUAAACAGAUUUAAUUUUUUUAACCUUCCUUCGUAACUAAAAUGCUCCAUUCCUUUUAUCAAUUUUGUAGCUCAUCUCUGCACUUUUUCUAGUACCAUGAUAUCCUUCUUUAGAACAGGUGCCAAAAAUUGCACAGCAUAUUCAAGGUGUGGUCUUACCAGUGAUUUAUAAAGAGGCAAAAUUAUAUUUUCAUCCCAAGAAUUUAUGCCCCUAUUUAUACAUGACAAAACCUUACUGUCCUUAGCAACUGCAGAUUGACAUUGCAUAUUGCUGCCUAAUUUGUUGUCUAUAACAAUUCCCAAAUCCUUCUCGUGUGUGGUUAUCCCUAAUUCACUACCAUUUAGAUGCAGCCAUUAUAUGAAAUAACCCCUAUGUGUAUGUCAGUAAGUACACGCAUAACACAAGCAAGCGGACCCCUCCAUCUGAGGAGCCCAUUGUCCAGGUUGUUCUUGAUUUUUUUCAUUUUGUGUUAACUCUCUCAAUGCCUGGAGCAUCUAUUGGUUAGUGACAGAGCGGGCUUGAUCCUUUCUCCCGCAUUAAUGCCUUGGAAACCGGUCUACAUGGUUUAAGUUAAUAUUGGUUCCUCUCAGCGCUUUACCAUGAUCCCACUACUGGCUCAAUCUCUCCUUUCCAUUUAGCUCGUUUUCCCCUCUCUGCAUCGUUAGAAUGUAAAUAUUGUGACUGGUCCAUGUACACCCAACACAUACAUUAUUUAUUUCUGCUUACAUCCCCUCCCCCCGUACCAAAUUUUCAAUUUUCUAUGACCAACGCAUUUUACCAUGCCUGUGUUUCAUAGCAUAUGAAGCUGCCUUAACCCCUUCAUAGAAUCAUCCUCUCAAGGGGUUAAACAUGUCUUGACUAAUGGAAUAAAAUAUUACUGAAAUGCAUCUCAUCACCCCAUAUUAUAGAAUGGGUUACAUUACCUGUAAUUUUAUUUUUUUAUUUUAGUUUUUCUUACUUUAUGUAUUAUUUAUUUGAAAAGAUGUGUUUUAAACAUGUAUAAUAUUUUUUUUAACAUUUCCAUUGCAGUAUUUAUCAAUGUUUCUG